rnacentral:rRNA from 1 species
UACAGAGGGGGCAAGCGUUGUUCGGAAUUAUUGGGCGUAAAGCGCGUGUAGGCGGCAUUGCAAGUCGGGUGUGAAAGCCCUCAGCUCAACUGAGGAAGUGCGCCCGAAACUGCAGUGCUUGAGUACCGGAGAGGAUGGCGGAAUUCCCCAAGUAGAGGUGAAAUGCGUAGAGAUGUGGAGGAACACCGAUGGCGAAGGCAGCCCCCUGGGCUAACACGUGACGCCUCGAGGCACGAAAGCGUGGGGAGCAAACACGG